CAUGGCUCAGGAUGAACGCUAGCUACAGGCUUAACACAUGCAAGUCGAGGGGCAGCAUUUCAGUUUGCUUGCAAACUGGAGAUGGCGACCGGCGCACGGGUGAGUAACACGUAUCCAACCUGCCGAUAACUCGGGGAUAGCCUUUCGAAAGAAAGAUUAAUACCCGAUGGUAUAAUCAGACCGCAUGGUCUUGUUAUUAAAGAAUUUCGGUUAUCGAUGGGGAUGCGUUCCAUUAGGCAGUUGGUGAGGUAACGGCUCACCAAACCUUCGAUGGAUAGGGGUUCUGAGAGGAAGGUCCCCCACAUUGGAACUGAGACACGGUCCAAACUCCUACGGGAGGCAGCAGUGAGGAAUAUUGGUCAAUGGGCGCAGGCCUGAACCAGCCAAGUAGCGUGAAGGAUGACUGCCCUAUGGGUUGUAAACUUCUUUUAUAUGGGAAUAAAGUUUUCCACGUGUGGAAUUUUGUAUGUACCAUAUGAAUAAGGAUCGGCUAACUCCGUGCCAGCAGCCGCGGUAAUACGGAGGAUCCGAGCGUUAUCCGGAUUUAUUGGGUUUAAAGGGAGCGUAGGUGGACAGUUAAGUCAGUUGUGAAAGUUUGCGGCUCAACCGUAAAAUUGCAGUUGAUACUGGCUGUCUUGAGUACAGUAGAGGUGGGCGGAAUUCGUGGUGUAGCGGUGAAAUGCUUAGAUAUCACGAAGAACUCCGAUUGCGAAGGCAGCUCACUGGACUGCAACUGACACUGAUGCUCGAAAGUGUGGGUAUCAAACAGGAUUAGAUACCCUGGUAGUCCACACAGUAAACGAUGAAUACUCGCUGUUUGCGAUAUACAGUAAGCGGCCAAGCGAAAGCAUUAAGUAUUCCACCUGGGGAGUACGCCGGCAACGGUGAAACUCAAAGGAAUUGACGGGGGCCCGCACAAGCGGAGGAACAUGUGGUUUAAUUCGAUGAUACGCGAGGAACCUUACCCGGGCUUAAAUUGCAUUUGAAUAAUCUGGAAACAGGUUAGCCGCAAGGCAAAUGUGAAGGUGCUGCAUGGUUGUCGUCAGCUCGUGCCGUGAGGUGUCGGCUUAAGUGCCAUAACGAGCGCAACCCUUAUCUUUAGUUACUAACAGGUCAUGCUGAGGACUCUAGAGAGACUGCCGUCGUAAGAUGUGAGGAAGGUGGGGAUGACGUCAAAUCAGCACGGCCCUUACGUCCGGGGCUACACACGUGUUACAAUGGGGGGUACAGAAGGCAGCUACCUGGUGACAGGAUGCUAAUCCCAAAAGCCUCUCUCAGUUCGGAUCGAAGUCUGCAACCCGACUUCGUGAAGCUGGAUUCGCUAGUAAUCGCGCACCAGCCAUGGCGCGGUGAAUACGUUCCCGGGCCUUGUACACACCGCCCGUCAAGCCAUGAAAGCCGGGGGUACCUGAAGUACGUAACCGCAAGGAGCGUCCUAGGGUAAAACUGGUAA
rnacentral:rRNA from 1 species